UACAGGGGGUGCAAACGUUGCUCGGAAUUAUUGGGCGUAAAGCGUGCGUAGACGGUUACGUAAGUCAGAUGUGAAAGCCCCGGGCUCAACCUGGGAAUUGCAUUUGAGACUGCGUAGCUAGGGUGCGGAAGAGGGAAGCGGAAUUUCCGGUGUAGCGGUGAAAUGCGUAGAUAUCGGAAGGAACACCAGUGGCGAAAGCGGCUUCCUGGUCCAGCACCGACGUUCAGGCACGAAAGCGUGGGGAGCAAACAGG
rnacentral:rRNA from 1 species